UACAGAGGUCCCGAGCGUUGUUCGGAUUCACUGGGCGUAAAGGGUGCGUAGGUGGCAUGGCAAGUUUGAUGUGAAAGCUCAGGGCUUAACCCUGAAAUGGCAUUGAAUACUGCUGUGCUGGAGGUUUGGAGGGGGGACUGGAAUUCUUGGUGUAGCGGUGAAAUGCGUAGAUAUCAAGAGGAACACCUGAGGUGAAGACGGGUCGCUGGGCCAACACUGACGCUGAGGCGCGAAAGCCAGGGGAGCAAACGGG
rnacentral:rRNA from 1 species